UACGGAGGGGGCUAGCGUUGUUCGGAUUUACUGGGCGUAAAGCGUACGUAGGCGGUCCGGAAAGUCAGAGGUGAAAUCCCAGGGCUCAACCUUGGAACGGCCUUUGAAACUCCUGGUCUUGAGUUCGAGAGAGGUGAGUGGAAUUCCGAGUGUAGAGGUGAAAUUCGUAGAUAUUCGGAGGAACACCAGUGGCGAAGGCGGCUCACUGGCGCGAUACUGACGCUGAGGUGCGAAAGCGUGGGGAGCAAACAGG
rnacentral:rRNA from 1 species